GCCUGGGUGGCUCAGUCAGUUGAGCAGCCGACUUUGGCUCAGGUCACGAUCUCUCGGUUCGUGGGUUCGAGCCCCGCGUCGGGCU
rfam:Felis catus isolate Cinnamon breed Abyssinian chromosome D3, whole genome shotgun sequence.